CUCACCGUCAAGUAGUGGUCACAACACGCUCAAAGUAAUCCUUCGGCUACUUUAAUUUGAGUUGAUGCUGCAAUAUGAUUCAGCGAUUUAGGGAAACGCCAACAGAAGCAGCUAGCCACAGUAACAGCAGCAACAGCAAUGGAGGGACCAGAGCUCACCUUCAACCCAGAACUUAAAGGGUGGCUUCCCCUUUGACCCGCCAAAAUAAAAUACGGGUAA